GCGAGCUUGUUGGCAGGGUGGACCUUGGAGUUGCAGCCCAAGCAGAGGAAGGCGGAGUCGGCUCGGCAGAAGAGCGUGGCAGUGGCCGAUUGGCACGAGUCGCAUAGCUUCGAGGCCAUAACCCAACCCCACACUCUGUACGAGGGUCUAUCAUGUGGGGCCAGCGAGAUCUAUUGCGUAGCCAAUUCGAAAACGACACCUGCAGAAUGCUUAGCCAAAUAAGUAGAUUACACAGAGUUGGGACAACUUGGCAUGGUGUCCGCGAAGAAAGUAUGCUUUUAAAGCAGGGUAGAUCACGGCUCAGUGUCGUUUUUUUAGAGCACCGGAAAUGGCUCCAUUGCAGAAUUUGGUUCGAAGUGGUAGCAAACAACUUGACAUGAUUGUGAAGACAACUGCAAUACUUAGUUCAUAAUCAACUACAAAAGUGUGAAGUAAACAAAAGACCGCAAAUGUAGGAUAAGUGAAUACAAGAACAUCAUGCGGUGCAUAAUGCAGCGGAAGAUAUUAGAUGAAGAAAAAAAAAAAUUGAGAAACUCCUAAUUAUACUGGAUGGCGAGUGCCACUUCUAGUAUCAAUGAGAAGAAAAGAGGAAAGUAGCAGUUCUGGAUGUUCAUUUUCUUUAUUUCAGCAUCAAAGAAUGUUUGCGCAUAUAGAUUAAUAUAAAAUUAAUCAUAACAGACAUUAAAUCUCACUUGCAUUUGGCAAUGGCCCAUUACCA